rnacentral:lncRNA from 1 species
CUCUGGGUGUUUGGACUGGGAUGGCUUACGUCAGAGUAUCUAAGCCUCUGUAAGUGGAGAUCAUCAAUUUUCACAGAGAUAUGAGUCACAUUUUUUCUUUCCUGGCAAAGCUUCUUGCAGAGGUGGUGGUUUUCUCUGCUCCAGAAAUCAAGCAUCCAAUACGACAACAAGCGAAUGUUGUAGUCAUCUACCAGAUUAAAGUUCUGCAGGCUGUAAGCAUAGAGGCUCCCGAUCUUCUGGGGAGGACUCAGAAAACCUGCAAUCAUGGUGGAAGGCAAAGGGGGAGCCAAUAUGUCACAUGGCUGGAGCAGAUGGAACAGAGAGAUCGGGUAGGUGCCGCACACUUUUCAACAAGAGCUCAUAAGAACUCACCAUUGCUAUGA